GUCCCCGUAGCUCAGCGGACAGAGCAGCUGCCUUCUAAGCAGACGGUCGACGGUUCGAAUCCGUCCGGGGAUGCCA
rnacentral:tRNA from 1 species